GGUGAAUAUAACUUAGUCGGUGAAAGUGUCAGACUGUGACUCUGAAAACACGGGUUCAAAUCCCGUUAUUUGCCU
rnacentral:tRNA from 1 species